rnacentral:tRNA from 1 species
AAUAAUAAGGUGUUAAGGCAUUCUAUUUUUUGGUGAUAGGGGUGAAUAGUAUUCUAUUAUUA